AAAAUGUAAAAUAAAAUUUCAUGUAAUUAAAAUUAAGAGACCUACUGCCUCAUUCUCCCAAGUAGCUAGGACUACACGCAUAUACUACCAUGCUUAGCUAAUUUUUUAUUUCUUGUAGAGAUGGAGUCUUGCUCCAUUGCCCAGGCUGAUCUCAAACUCCUGGCCUCAAAAGAUCCUCCCACCUUGGCUUCCCAAAGCGCUGGGAUUAUCGAUGUGAGCGGUUGUGCCUGCCCCAUAGGUAUUCUUUAUCCUGCAGAGUUCCCAGCAUAACAUCAAGUAUGGACAGCUCCAGGAAGCAACAACAAUUAAAAAAAAAGGGGAAUCUGCUGGCAUCACCCCCAUCCAAACCAGGCUCAGGAAAUUUUCCAGGGCCAGGCAGCCUUUGUGGAAGCUAUGUAAGGACUGGAGAAACGCGUGUUCUUGUGCAAACAAACCCCAAAACAAAACAAGAGAUACUGUCUUUGGACUGGACUUUGUCCAGCCUGGAGUCACAGUGCCCGUCAAGAGCCACUCCAGAAUACUUGUACCUGGAUCUUCACUAGGGCCGGCCAGAGCAGAAUGCAGUGUUCUCAGGACUACAAAGCUGGGUCACCCACACAUGGUUGGACUUGAUAAGUAUCGUAACCUAACGAAGGAUGCCAUACUCUCCAGUGCCUGGGGGAGCCCCAGUGGGAAUGGAUCCAGAUGGUGCUGGGCCUGGGCCAAAAGAGAAAUGGGGGAGGACGGGUCCUUUCUCUCCUUUGUCCCUAACCUCCCCACAUCCUACUGCUGUCUGACUCAGAACUCUCAUGAAAAACCCAACUUCUUACACUGAUAUUUCCCAGAGGCCUAAUUGUGCAACAAGAAAUAAAAACGCAAUUAGAGAACUGAGGUCCAGCAGGAAAUUCACAUUACAUAAAUAAGACCUGGAGUGUGUAGGGGAGCGCCCCAACUCCCAGCCUUGUUAGUAUUGAAGGCUGCGAGCACACAGCUCAGGGAUCCUCUGAUUUGGUGGAUAACCCCUGUGAACAAUAGUUCUCUGAAAAGGGAUUUAGAGGAAAGAGACUUUAUUCCUGUAAACAGUUUUCAAACUAGGGAA
rnacentral:lncRNA from 1 species